CGUAUAUUAAAGUUGUUGCAGUUAAAAAGCUCGUAGUUGGAUUUGUGGUGUAUGGUGUGUUCUGGGCACUUGUUGUCUGAGUAACCUGCUGUUGCCAUCCUUGGGUGGAACCUGUGUGGCAUUAGGUUGUCGUGCAGGGGAUACCCAUCAUUUACUGUGAAAAAAUUAGAGUGUUCAAAGCAGGCUUAUGCCGUUGAAUAUAUUAGCAUGGAAUAAUGAGAUAGGACUUUUUUGCUAUUUUGUUGGUUUGCGCAAAGAGGUAAUGAUUAAUAGGGACAGUUGGGGG
rnacentral:rRNA from 1 species